rnacentral:rRNA from 1 species
AACGGCUGGCGGCGUGCCUAACACAUGGCAAGGUCGAACGGGGGCUAGGAAAAGUUUGCUUUCCGAAGCCUAGUGGCGGACGGGUGAGUAACGCGUGAGUAACCUGCCUUUUCAGAGGGGGAAUAAACGUUCUGAAAAGAACGCUAAUACCGCAUAACGUACAGUUACCGCAUGGUAGCAGUACCAAAGGAGCAAUCCGCUGAGAGAUGGACUCGCGUCCGAUUAGCCUAGUUGGUGGGGUAAAGGCCUACCAAGGCGACGAUCGGUAGCCGGACUGAGAGGUUGAACGGCCACAUUGGGACUGAGACACGGCCCAGACUCCUACGGGAGGCAGCAGUGGGGGAUAUUGCACAAUGGGGGAAACCCUGAUGCAGCAACGCCGCGUGUGGGAAGAAGGUUUUCGGAUUGUAAACCACUGUUCUUGGUGAAGAUAAUGACGGUAACCAAGGAGAAAGCUCCGGCUAACUACGUGCCAGCAGCCGCGGUAA